rnacentral:misc_RNA from 1 species
GAAUGUUACUACUAUCAUCAGAAGGACCACAUUCAAUAUCAUUGUAGAAAAAUGAAGGAAUACCUUGUAGAGUUCAAAAAAUUCACAAGAAAGCCAUGAAAAAGAAGAGACGGCCAUAAUUGCAAUUACAAUUACAAUUGAUGAUGAUGUUGAAUGUGAUGUUUUGAAUGUGGAUGAUAAUGAAGAAAAGGCAAAGGAUCCAUUGCGAGAUGAGUGGUUAAUAGAUUCUGCUUGCCCAUUCCAUAU